rnacentral:sRNA from 1 species
UGGCAAAGUGCUUUCCGACCUCUACUGC